rnacentral:snRNA from 1 species
GUGAGAAUCCAGCAACACAUAUUCUAAAAUUUGAAAACUUUAGAAAUUAGCAUGAACCUUGUUCAAGAAAGACAUGAAAGCUUGUGAAACACUCCACAUUUUG